GGCUGACGCCUGGGAUGAAUUAGGGCCCCUUUAGGUCUCUGUUCUUUUCCUCUUCGCACCACCCUUCGCAAUGGCCAGCAUGAGGUGCCCAGCCCAGGUCCCCACUGCUGACUAGAACAGAUCCUUUCUGCCAGGAGGGGGAUGUCCCAAAGAGUCCCAGAAUCCUGCACGUUUCCCUAGGGGCUUUCUCACUUCCCGGAGGCUGGGACGGAAAUGGUGGCGGCGCUCCUCCAAGCUUCUUGUGACCUCACAGUGCCUCUCAGUGGUCACACAGCACACUGCAAGCCGAGGCAUGUGCUGUGAGGACUGGGGACACCUCAGGAUGUAGUGCAGAGGCUGAAGCUGUCACUGACCCACUGCUGGUGCCUCCCUUUGACUUCCGAUGCCCUCUGUCUGCAGAUGGGAUUAGUCUGUUUCUUCCCAGGUCACAACUGUGCUUCUCCCCGCCUCUCCAACUGCCUGGAUUGCUUCCAUCCUUCCUUCCCAGCUGACCCCUCUCCAGAGAAGAUCGAAGUCAUUACCUUUCAGCAGCGAGAUCACCUCCCAACCAUUGUGGACACUUUCAAAAUAACGUGAAACACUGAUGGACAGUGGAAGAGGUUAGGAGAAGGAGCAUACAGAAGUCACGUCACUUCCCUGAGUAAAGGCAGCC
rnacentral:lncRNA from 1 species